AUACGUAGGGGGCGAGCGUUGUCCGGAAUGAUUGGGCGUAAAGGGCGCGUAGGCGGCCGCUUAAGUCUGGAGUGAAAGUCCUGUUUUCAAGAUGGGAAUUGCUUUGGAUACUGGGGGGCUUGAGUGCAGGAGAGGUUAUCGGAAUUCCCGGUGUAGCGGUGAAAUGCGUAGAGAUCGGGAGGAACACCAGUGGCGAAGGCGGGUAACUGGACUGCAACUGACGCUGAGGCGCGAAAGUGUGGGGAGCAAACAGGAUUAGAUACCCUGGUAGUCCACACUGUAAACGAUGAAUGCUAGGUGUAGGGGGUAUCGACCCCUUCUGUGCCGCAGUCAACACAAUAAGCAUUCCGCCUGGGGAGUACGGCCGCAAGGUUGAAACUCAAAUGAAUUGGCGGGG
rnacentral:rRNA from 1 species